AACGAACGCUGGCGGCGUGGAUAAGACAUGCAAGUCGAGCGGGAACUUUCGCUGUAGCAAUACAGUGAAAGUUCUAGCGGCGAACGGGUGCGUAACACGUGGACAAUCUGCCUUAAAGUGGGGGAUAGCUCGGCGAAAGACCGAAUUAAUACCGCAUGUGAUGAGAGACGACAUCGUCUUGAAAUCAAAGCCGGGGCGACCUGGCGCUUUUUGUAGGAGUCCGCGGCCAUCAGCUUGUUGGUGAGGUAACGGCUCACCAAGGCUAUGACGGGUAGCUGGUCUGAGAGGACGGACCAGUCACACUGGAACUGAGACACGGUCCAGACACCUACGGGUGGCAGCAGUCGAGAAUUUUUCUUC
rnacentral:rRNA from 1 species